rnacentral:rRNA from 1 species
GCCUGCCACCCCGCCGGCAUCCACUGCCGAAUCAACCUAAAAUGGCUCGAUCUACCCGCGAUUGCGGAAGCUAAGCUCGGGUGGGCCUGGUUAUAACUUGGAUGGGACACCUCUAAGGAAGACCUGGUGCUCUAAGCU